CGGGAUCGUAGUUUAACGAGAAUUUUCGGUUUGGGACCGAAGGGUGCCCCUGGGUCAUCCCGA
rnacentral:tRNA from 1 species